rnacentral:lncRNA from 1 species
UAAUAUUUAUGAGCUGAAUUUGGAAAUGUACACGAAAUAGUUUUUGUUUUUUCUUGUUUUUUUUUUCUUAUUCUCUAGUUUGGAGCAUAUUUAUCAUUUAUUCAUUUGCUGAUAGUAUUGUCAUGACAUUAAUUAAUUAAUUAAUAAUGAGAGGCACUACUGUUUAUUUAUAUAAUAUAUAUUAUACACUUCCUACAUAUAAUGUUUUGUAUAUGUUUCUGGGCAUGCCUUUGUAUUUGUUAAGAAGUCACAUCGGAUGCGAGAUGACCUGAAC